AGACGGGGUUUCACCAUGUUGGCCAGGCUGGUCUUGAACUCCUGACCUCAAGUGAUCAGCCUGCCUGGGCCUCCCAAAGUGCUGGGAUUACAGGCGUGAGCCACUGCGCCCGGCCGUAAACAACUCUUGACAGAUUCAUGGUCCUGAGAAGAUAAGAAACGGAAGUCAGAAACUGCCCAGAAGCAGGGGCCUUGAUAAAAUCCCCAGGUUCAGACCCCAAAGGGCACUACACCCUGGAAGCAAGUUUGUACUUCUGGCCUGACAGCAUGAGGAGCUCUAUGGACCCAGCUGCAAUCAAAACUGCUACCUGUUGCUGAGGCUAAAUUCCGGGCAAGUGCAUCUCAGAAGUGGAGGCUUCCUUCUGCCCAGCACCCCCCACUUGUAGGACAAAGGCUCAGUACAGGGCACAGAACCACCGAGAAUCCUGGGGCCCCUACUGCUCACCCCCUGUCCUGUGGGAUGAAGGAUCCACACUGGGAAAGGUAAGCUGAGGAGACCUGGGGCUGCUGCCUCCCCCUCUCCACUGAGUGCUCAGCUCCUAAAACUGGGGUGUCACUGAGAGGAGAGCAUGCCAUUGUUCCUGCCCCAAUUACCAGAACCGUGGCUCAGAGAUUUUGCCCAGAGAGAGAAGCAAGCCAUAAAAUAGAAAACUCCAAAUCUCUCCCCAAAGGAACUGACUUUAUAUGCAACA
rnacentral:lncRNA from 1 species